AACUUUGAAAUGGUUGCAUUUGCAUGAGUAUUUUUUCCAUCCUUUUGCUCUCAAAAUAUUUGUCUUUAAACCUAAAGUGCGUCUCCAGUAGAGAAAAUAUAGGUGUACCUUGUGUUUUUAAUCCAGUCUGUCAAUUGCCUUAGAACAUAAAAUGUUUAUCUUAUCAGGACACAUUUCAAAUUUAUACUAUAUUAAUUCCAAUGAGCAUAGAAAUGUGACUUCUGUAUAAAUUGAUUUCUUCCCUUUUUUUGUGCUCUAUUUGUUACAUAUAUUCAAUCUAUGUUACAAACCCAAUGAUAUAAUGCUAAAUUAUUGUCUUCUGUAAUUUUAUGUCUUUCAAAGAAGCUGAGAGAAAAAUAGCAGGUAUAUAUUGCAGAUAUGGUUAUACUAACCUUUUUAUUACCCUCUCUGAUUCUCUCCAUAUAUUCCUAUGUAUUUCAGUUAACCAUUGUGUGUCAUUUCCUUACUCUAAUGAAGCUUUGUUCCCAUCCACCUACUUUGUGCUGUUAUAUAAUUACAUACACAUUGUUUUAACAAUUGCUUUUUAAUCAGUUGAGAAGAAAGGAAAAGAAAUAUGCAAUUAUAAUGUCUUUGUAAAUGACUUACUAAUUACCUUUACCACUGUUUUUAUUUUUUUCAUGUGGAUUCAAAUUACUUUCGGGUAUCACAUGUUUUCUUCCUGAAAAAAAGUUCCUACAAUAUGUCUUGUAAAGCAGUUUUGAUAGAAACGAAAUCUCUUUUUCCAACAAUGCAGGGAUGUCUUUAUUUUGCCUUCAUUUU
rnacentral:lncRNA from 1 species